UACGGGGGGGGCAAGCGUUGUUCGGAAUUACUGGGCGUAAAGGGCUCGUAGGCGGCCCACUAAGUCGGAUGUGAAAUCCCCAGGCUUAACCUGGGAACUGCAUCCGAUACUGGAUGGCUUGAAUCCGGGAGAGGGAUGCAGAAUUCCAGGUGUAGCGGUGAAAUGCGUAGAUAUCUGGAGGAAUACCGGUGGCGAAGGCGGCAUCCUGGACCGGCAUUGACGCUGAGGAGCGAAAGCUAGGGGAGCAAACAGG
rnacentral:rRNA from 1 species